rnacentral:rRNA from 1 species
UACCAGCACCCCGAGUGGUCGGGACGUUUAUUGGGCCUAAAGCAUCCGUAGCCGGUUCUACAAGUCUUCCGUUAAAUCCACCUGCUUAACAGAUGGGCUGCGGAAGAUACUAUAGAGCUAGGAGGCGGGAGAGGCAAGCGGGUACUCGAUGGGUAGGGGUAAAAUCCGUUGAUCCAUUGAAGACCACCAGUGGCGAAGGCGG